GAAUUUUGGACAAUGGGGGCAACCCUGAUCCAGCCAUGCCGCGUGUGUGAAGAAGGCCUUCGGGUUGUAAAGCACUUUCGGACGGAACGAAAUCGCGCGAUCUAAUAAGUCGCGUGGAUGACGGUACCGUAAGAAGAAGCACCGGCUAACUACGUGCCAGCAGCGGCGGUAAUACGUAGGGUGCGAGCGUUAAUCGGAAUUACUGGGCGUAAAGUGUGCGCAGGCGGCGUCGCAAGUCGAGUGUGAAAUCCCCGGGCUUAACCUGGGAAUUGCGCUCGAAACUAUGAUGCUGGAGUGUGGCAGAGGAAGGUGGAAUUCCACGUGUAGCGGUGAAAUGCGUAGAGAUGUGGAGGAACACCGAUGGCGAAGGCAGCCUUCUGGGCCAACACUGACGCUCAUGCACGAAAGCGUGGGGAGCAAACAGG
rnacentral:rRNA from 1 species